CCUGCAUCCACCGUGUGUGUGUGUGUGUGUGUGUGUCGUCAGUCGCGGGGGGAACUGAGCUGCAGCCCCGCCCGCUGCAGAUAGCCGACAGAAUUGAAACGGCAGCAACUUUAG